AACAGACGAGGAGCUUGCUCCUCUGACGUUAGCGGCGGACGGGUGAGUAACACGUGGAUAACCUACCUAUAAGACUGGGAUAACUUCGGGAAACCGGAGCUAAUACCGGAUAAUAUAUUGAACCGCAUGGUUCAAUAGUGAAAGACGGUUUUGCUGUCACUUAUAGAUGGAUCCGCGCCGCAUUAGCUAGUUGGUAAGGUAACGGCUUACCAAGGCGACGAUGCGUAGCCGACCUGAGAGGGUGAUCGGCCACACUGGAACUGAGACACGGUCCAGACUCCUACGGGAGGCAGCAGUAGGGAAUCUUCCGCAAUGGGCGAAAGCCUGACGGAGCAACGCCGCGUGAGUGAUGAAGGUCUUCGGAUCGUAAAACUCUGUUAUUAGGGAAGAACAAAUGUGUAAGUAACUAUGCACGUCUUGACGGUACCUAAUCAGAGAGCCACGGCUAACUACGUGCCAGCAGCCGCGGUAAUACGUAGGUGGCAAGCGUUAUCCGGAAUUAUUGGGCGUAAAGCGCGCGUAGGCGGUUUUUUAAGUCUGAUGUGAAAGCCCACGGCUCAACCGUGGAGGGUCAUUGGAAACUGGAAAACUUGAGUGCAGAAGAGGAAAGUGGAAUUCCAUGUGUAGCGGUGAAAUGCGCAGAGAUAUGGAGGAACACCAGUGGCGAAGGCGACUUUCUGGUCUGUAACUGACGCUGAUGUGCGAAAGCGUGGGGAUCAAACAGGAU
rnacentral:rRNA from 1 species